rnacentral:rRNA from 1 species
UGUUUAACAAAGAGAAGCAAAGCCGCGAGGUAGAGCAAAUCUCAAAAAAACAUCUCAGUUCAGACUGCAGGCUGCAACUCGCCUGCACGAAGUCGGAAUUGCUAGUAAUCGUAGGUCAGCAUACUACGGUGAAUACGUUCCCGGGCCUUGUACACACCGCCCGUCAAACCAUGAGAGUUGGCAACACCCGAAGUCGGUAGUCUAACCGCAAGGAGGACGCCGCCGAAGGUGGGGUUGAUGAUUAGGGUUAAGUCGUAACAAGGUAAC